rnacentral:rRNA from 1 species
GAUGAACGCUGGCGGCGUGCCUAAUACAUGCAAGUCGAGCGAAUGGAUUAAGAGCUUGCUCUUAUGAAGUUAGCGGCGGACGGGUGAGUAACACGUGGGUAACCUGCCCAUAAGACUGGGAUAACUCCGGGAAACCGGGGCUAAUACCGGAUAACAUUUUGAACCGCAUGGUUCGAAAUUGAAAGGCGGCUUCGGCUGUCACUUAUGGAUGGACCCGCGUCGCAUUAGCUAGUUGGUGAGGUAACGGCUCACCAAGGCAACGAUGCGUAGCCGACGUGAGAGGGUGAUCGGCCAAGCUGGGACUGAGAAACGGCCCAGACUCCUACGGGAGGCAGCAGUAGGGAAUGUUCCGAAAUGGACGAAAGUCUGACGGAGCAACGCCGCGUGAGUGAUGAAGGCUUUCGGGUCGUAAAACUCUGUUGUUAGGGAAGAACAAGUGCUAGUUGAAUAAGCUGACACCUUGACGGUACCUAACCAGAAAGCCACGGCUAACUACGUGCCAGCCGCCGCGGUAA